UCCCAAACUGGGAUUAGAUACCCCACUAUGCUUAGCCCUAAACUUCAAUAAUUAAAUAACAAAAUUAUUUGCCAGAGGACUACUAGCCACAGCUUAAAACUCAAAGGACUUGGCGGUACUCUAUAUCCACCUAGAGGAGCCUGUUCUAUAAUCGAUAAACCCCGCUACACCUUACCAUUUCUUGCUAAUUCAGCCUAUAUACCGCCAUCUUCAGCAAACA
rnacentral:rRNA from 1 species